CCAGACAGCAAGCCAACAUUGAAUAAACAUUGUUUUUCCAUCUGAAUCAUCAUUAUGGUUGAUAUUGAAAUUUCAAUGCAAAAUAAAUGUUGAAUCACCAUUAUCAUAUCGAUGAAAACCUGAUGUUAUUAAUGUUGAUGGCAACAAUAUUGGAACAACAUUGAUCCAUAGUUAUCUUUAUGAUUGAUUAAGCAUUGAUAUUUGGUUACCGGGUGAUCCCUGAAUGUGUUGAAAAGUAAUUGAUUUAUAGUGGACAGAGGAACGAUGCGGUUGUUGAAAAGUCAUCGAAAUAUAGUUGACCGGGAAAUAUGAUAGAAAGUGCAUCGAAAUAUAGUUGACCGGGAAAUAUGAUAGAAAGUGCAUCGAAAUAUAGUUGACCGGGAAAUAUGAUAGAAAGUGCAUCGAAAUAUAGUUGACCAGGAAAUAUGAUAGAAAAUGCGUCGAAAUAUAGUUGACCGGGAAAUAUGAUUGAAAAUCCAUCGAUUUUUGGUUGACCGGGAGAUCAACGGGUGGUAUACCCAACGUACUGCACCGGACACAGCUCAUUUCUGGACCCUUGGCACAAGUGUACAGGUAAGCUUGCUUAAUGUUCGAUAUGAACCCAGACAGCACAGGCACGCGGUGUGUUUUUAUACAGUCUGUGGGCAGCUGAAGAGACUGGCUCAUUUUCAAAUAAUGUUACCGUUAACUUGUUUAGACAACGGUCACGGUAAAUUAAUGUUAAAGCCUUUCGUGUCCAGCAGUUUCUCGGAGGGAAAAUGUAAAAGCGGUUUAUUAAAGAGAAGUCCUGACUCCUUUAUCGUCGUGUUUUUCACUCUUUUACAGGCUGCCAGAAAGAAUCCGUCUCUAUAGUGAGUGAUUAUUGAAUGAGGCUGUACAUUAUAAAUGUAAUGUUUUAACUCGAGAUGUUUGUUUGUGUGAAUGCUGUGUGUGCGGUGAGUUCUGCGCGAGCGGGGAGCAGAGUUGCCAUGGAAACGGGGCAUCAACACAAAAACCAUUACUGGCAAGCAGUAACGUUAAUCUCCGUCUCUCGCUGCGGUUUACGCUGUUUUAGGUAAGUUUAGUCGCUAAAAUCACACAAAUAUGAUAUACAAAUGUUUCUGACACGUUUCUUACUUGUUAUUGACAUGUUUCAAUUACAUUUAUUUUAUAGAAAUGGUUUAGUGUCUUCGAAAAAGUCUGUUAGCAUCUAUCUUAGCAGUUUUCAGGUAAUGUUAGGCUAAUUUUGAGCUCUUGUUGAUGAAACUCUGGGCUUUUCAUCAAAUCGUCGUGUGUGUGAGAUAUUUUGAUGGCUCUGUGAAUGUUUUGCUGGUGAUUUGUCAGUGUUUUUUUUUUUUUUUUAUAGAAAAGGCUGAUUUACUGAAUCGAUGACGUCACUUACACUGAGAGUGUAACGUUAAUCGGCUGAAAACAAGUUCACAUGAGUUUUGAUAUUUCAUGAUAAACAGAUAUUAAUACAAAUUGUUCUGUGAUUUCAGGAGGACAGAAAGAAACUAUACAGAACAAAGUGAAACUCCAAGAUUUUUGAAAAGAAAAUUGGUGAAAUAUAUUCUGAAAAAGGCAUAUUAAUGUAUUUCAUGAGCUUCUUCAGUAAAUCUGUAUUUCUAAGUCAGUAUCUCCCUUCAGAAAUGUGGCUGAAGGGAGAUACUGACUUAGAAAUACAGCUGAACUCAUGAAAAGAAGCUCAUGAAACACAUUAAUAUGCCUUUUUCAGAAUAUAUUUCACCAAAUUUAAGAAGUCCCUGACAUCAAAACAGUAAAUAUUGUUGUCUCUGUGUCAGAUGGCUUGUUUUGUUCCUGGACUCUUCAGUGAUGAUGAGCAGAGUCUGAGUGAACCUGCUGUCAGACAUUAAGUACCCUGAGUACCCUGGGGUUUCAGUCAGGGCCUUCAGUAAACAACUGAAUCAAACAAAAUCCUUAAUGGUUAAUAGUUACUAGUUAAUAUAUUAUUAAUCACUUAUAAAUCAUUGAAAUGUCAACAUUGUACUAUUAUCUCAAUAAACAUUAUAAAUAAUUUACAAAGCUUUCUGCACCCCCUAAUCUAUAAAGUGUAAACUACUCAUCAGUUGUACUCAUCGGCUUUCAUUUGCUUUUGGAUGUUUGCGUCGCAAGUGAUACAGCAUUGUACUUGCACAACUAUUGUACUUCAUUUUAAUACCCAAACCCGGACCUCUGACACGCCAGGCAAAAGUUCUACCACUGAAACAUUUGAGCUGACAAACAGAUAUAUUGUAGCUUAAUAUUCACAAUAGGAAGAAAGUGCAGCAUAAAAAAUAUCAUAUUUUAGCAUUAAAAUCCCUUUAACAUUUAUGGUGAUCUGAGAGGCCGGGGGAGUCCAGUUAAUGGGGCGUAAUUCAUUAGCUUUAAUGAGAAUUGUAUAUUUUAUAGGCCUACAUUAAAAUGUAUUUAGUUUUUUAUAUUUUACAAUUAUUUCUUGAAUGCUACUAUUACAUCAACUGUAGCUGAAAAGAAUAAACCCCUGUAUAUUUAAUUUGUAUAUUAUGUUGUUUAUAUUCUUUGUUUUUAUAUUUUUAAUAACAGAUUGGUUACCUGAGUACAUAUGUAUAAAGUACAGUCACACUGUAUGAUUGUGAAUUUUAAUUGCUGUUUUUAACAGAGAUUUUUGUCUUUUCUGUUCUUUUACAGAUGACUAUUGCACACCAAAUGCUCUUACUCAGCAGAUGGGGACAGCUACCAUCACCCAAUUUUCACCCAAAAGUGGCUGCGCUAUUCGCCAGACCGGGCAGGAGGGACUGGACGACAACUUAUGCAGGCAUCAGAUGACAAUGAAGUGUAAAUAAAGAGUAGAGGCUAAUAAACAGGAAUUUGAUUUUAAA